UAGGGUGGCUGAUGUGUAAACACAUGGCUCUGAGUGUAAGCACCUUUUCACAAGAAACUUUCUUGUGUUCAAAUUACCGUCAGUGCGAAAUAGCUUGAAAGCUUUCGUAUUUCAACUUGGCUGCACCUACGGUUAUGAGAACGAUCAAUCAUGUGCGAUACCUGCGUCGACCUGUGACUUGCGGAAAAACACAGGAAAGUGUCUAGCCUACCGGAAUGUUACAAGAAGAACAAGAAUGGUUACAUGACAUUCGGACAUGUGACAUUUGUUGUUUAAAGAUUUUUCGCCCACACAUCGACCCUGGACAGAUAACAGAAAUACACAUUGCCACUUAAUCUGUAUUCAUCUUGCGACUUCUCCUUGGAAGAAGGUGAGAGGGACCCUAGGAGGGACGUAAAGGAGUUGAUGAAAUCUUGUUAAGACAGACAAUCAGAUGGUAUGGCCUCUGAAGACCUCCAAGACCAACUGGAUGAGGCUAUUAAAAAGGCAGAACGCCUUGCCGAGGAGCUCAACCAAGAGAAGGACCCACAAGCCCAACUGGACGAGGCCAUUAACGAGGCAAAAAGACUGGCUGAGGAGCUCAACCCAGAACCGGUAAUGUAACAAGUCGUACAUUACCGGUAAUGUAACCCCUACAGCUCCCAUACGUGCGUAAAUAUUCCCAACACAACCCCAGCACCACAGCUUUAUGAUUUAUCAUUGCUUUUUGUUUGUCAAAUGUGGACCCCACCUGGCACAAAUGUGAAUUUAAACGUAGACUCCGUGAUAUGACCUGAACACGGGCAUCAAUGAUAUUUUUUAUUUAUUUAUUUCACCUUUUAUUUAACCAGGUAGGCUAGUUGAGAACAAGUUCUCAUUUGCAACUGCGACCUGGCCAAGAUAAAAGCGUAGCAAUUCGACACAUACAACAACACAGAGUUACACAUGGAAUAAACAAAACAUAUAGUCAAUAAUACAGUAGAACAAAAGAAGACCCUGCGUGUUCAAAUCCUGCUGUGCCUGGUGCAUCACACAGUUGGAGUGUGAGGAAGGAACUCUCACAGGAGGGAGUCCAGGCCUGAGAUUGUAGAUUUUCUGCUGGCUGCAGAGCAUGUUUCUCAAAAGAUCUGUCAGUCAUGCAAUGUGAAAAGGGCUAUUCUGCGAUGUAGAGACUCUGCCGAAACAGCUUUACUGCGAAGGCUGCGAUGUCUCUACACAUGCAAAGUUCCCCCUGCACAACAGAGUCCAUGAUCGAGGGGUUCUACACGCCCCUUCCUCCAACUACAGCCAUAUCUCUCCACAGUGAUGGCAAAUAUACACUUCAUGAACAGGGUGUGCUUCAAUUUUUUUGGCGGCUGAAUGUAUUAUAUCAAAGUUCAAAUGUAUUCUUGUUUAUUGUUGUAUAUAAAUAUUGUCCCUAGAUUGUUUCUUACCAUUGGAUGUACCAGAGGUGGUAUGUGGUUGCCUGACAAGCACCAUCCAUGUUGGCCCUGGGAAACAUAUAAUACUCGUAGGAAUAAAUGGUCGCUACAAUGUCACAGUGCCUGUGCUUACCUGCACAACUUGUCUUAGCACCUGGACAGCAAACUUGGCAGAUCUGAUAAAGAAUGGGUACUGGCCUGCCACUGUCAACUGUGACACCAUAUACCAGGUAGAUGUGUUCAGCUCUUUUGAGGAGCUGGAAGUGUCAGCCCCAGGAAUGUCCCGUCUGGCGUUUAUGCGGAUUUUGGAGCAGCGAACUGACUUCUUUGGCAGGGUAACAAUCAAUUAUACUCAGCUUUACUGAUAACCUGUAUGACUUCAGGUUAACUAUGUUACAUUUUGUUACAACACUUUGUGUAACAUAGCUAUAGUACUGGAAAUAAAGUUAUGUUAAAACUUCAGGUCUCUUGCUACAGUAUGUGUUAGCCUCCUGCACCACUGUCCUGCCAUGCACCUUAUCUGUGCCCCUCUUGCAUCCAAUAUUUCCUGCUCUUUACAACAUAAGUACUCAUCCUACUUUUGCAUUGGCUUUCACCUGCUUUGCUGUGAACACUAUGUACUGGCCCUGCUUUAACUCAAAUCCAGUCAGCCAUAGUGAAUGAUAGUAUGUUUUGUUUAUACUAUUGUUGUAAGUUAUUUCAUAUAUUUUCUAUAUGUAUUUUUCCCUUACCAGAACGGAAUGAUCUGUGGGGACACUUUUCAAAAAAGCUUCUUUCGAGUGGACGUACUGCCGCUCUGAAAUUGAUUAGGUCUGUGAUAUACAGGACUUUGACUGCCCAGCCUGGUCUGUGAUAUACAGGACUUUGACUGCCCAGCCUGUUCACCCAGCAUGCUUGCAGUGUCAGUGGACACUGAGAGAAUUUCCAGCUUCAGUCCUUUACAAGGCUUCCCAUUUAGAUGUUUGUUAUUCACAUAAUUGCAAUAUCAAGUCUAUUUAAAAAAAAAUGUGAAUUAAGAUUAAGUGGGGAGGACGGAAUCAGGAAGGAGCUGGCACAACUCUGGGGGAGGAAGUGGAACGAGGGAACAGCUUCUUGUCGAGGGCUGCAAUCUGUUCCAAGCAAAUGUCCAAAGGAGGUAAACAUUUUGUUUAAGGUUGUUCUAUUCAGCUAUGUUAAUACUUAUCUGGAAUAAGAAGUUCUAUUUGGCAUUUCUAGCAAGAACAGACAUGCUAACCAUCCAGGCUAUGGGGUGGAACAGAAAGAAGAAAAAACCUGCACAAAGUAUUGUCCAGAAAAUACUUGAAGGUGUAUUGUGUGGAUCAAAACAUUUAUUUUAGAAGUAUUAUAUCUAUGGAUUUAAUUUAAAAACAAUUAGUUAUUCUGUUUAGUUUGUCAUAAUUCUCAGACAACAGCAAAAAUCCAGGAGGAGACCCAGACUCUCAAAGUUUAAGAGUGAUUUGGGUGUUAGGCGAUGAGACUCUGUACAACAGAAGUUCAGCAAUGGGAUAAUACAGGUAAAUGAAUACAAAAUAUAAAUAAUCCUAAAUGUAACUCUCCUGGACUGUCACCUUGACGUAGUGGAGAGGCUUGUGUACUCCAAUGACUCUGAGAGCUAACUCUCAGAGGGUGUAUUCCACCGACACGUGCAAUCAAGCCGGGCGGGUAGGAGGCAGACUAAACAUUCCCUGGUUAUCCAGGUUGGGGCUCAUUCACCGCCCACAUCAUUUGUUACAGAAACCUUCACAGGCCCUAUGUUCCUCCAGGAAGUGAGUGGAACUUCUCGGCGUGGCGAUACGUUGUUAAUUUAUAGAUGUACUGUAAUCCAGAGAAAACAAAUGAGAACGUGGGACGGUCCCCAGGUACUACAGAGAACAAUUGAAGUCCUGUUUCUAAGCAUCAAACAAAGGAAACAGAACCUCUACCGUCAGACAGCUGACCUACUCACAAAGAAAAUAGCCUUUGACCGGGUGAUGCUCCUGAGACGGCUGGAGGACGAAGAGUUAAUUGUCAUAAAGGAAGUCUAGCAGCACUGGGAAAGCCUAAAGAGGGAAUUGGAGAAUGUGCAAGACCUUGCUUCACAUGUGGCACUUGACCUAAGCAGGCAAAGCUGGCAAUUGAAUCAGUCUGAAGCUGGGAGCAGAGGUGUCUUCUCCAUGCUUCAGAGGAGAGUCAGCAGCCUCAGAAGACACCAGGACUCUGUCAAACUGAUAUACAGCAAAGCUAUGGGCCAAGACACCUCCCUCCUAGAAUAUUUUGCACGCCCAAUUUUUCAGUUUUUGAUUUGUUAAAAAAGUUUGAAAUAUCCAAUAAAUGUCGUUCCACUUCA